rnacentral:rRNA from 1 species
AGAUUGAACGCUGGCGGCAUGCUUUACACAUGCAAGUCGAACGGCAGCACGGGGGCAACCCUGGUGGCGAGUGGCGAACGGGUGAGUAAUGCAUCGGAACGUAUCUUUAAGUGGGGGAUAACGCAUCGAAAGAUGCGCUAAUACCGCAUAAUCUCUGAGGAGAAAAGCAGGGGAUCGCAAGACCUUGCGCUUUUGGAGCGGCCGAUGUCUGAUUAGCUAGUUGGUGGGGUAAAGGCUUACCAAGGCUUCGAUCAGUAGCUGGUCUGAGAGGACGACCAGCCACACUGGGACUGAGACACGGCCCAGACUCCUACGGGAGCAG